rnacentral:misc_RNA from 1 species
AGGCACCAGCACAGAAUCCAUUGGGAGGCCCUCAUUUGCUAGUUUGUCUCAAAGGCCCAGCAACCUCAGAGUGUUCACAGUUUCUGAGCUUAAGUCAGCUACCAAGAAUUUUAGCCGAUCUGUCAUGCUUGGAGAGGGUGGAUUUGGUUGGGUCCUCUAUGCUCUUGAUAGACCCGAGCAUAGAGGACCCAACUAACAAGGUUGAAGUUGCAGUGAAACAGCUUGGUAAAAGAGGGAUGCAGGGGCACAAAGAAUGGGUCACAGAAGUGAAUGUUCUUGGAGUAGUUGAGCAUCCAAACCUUGUCAAAUUAGUUGGCUAUUGUGCAGAUGAUGAUGAAAGAGGAAUCCAACGUCUUUUGAUAUAUGAAUAUAUGCCUAAUGGAAGUGUGGAGGAUCCAUUUAUCCGCUCGAUCAGAGGUGCCUCUUCCAUGGACCAUGAGGUUGAGAAUAGCCCAAGAUGCUGCUCGUGGCUUAACAUACCUACAUGAAGAAAUGGGUUUUCAGAUCAUCUUCAGGGAUUUCAAAUCCUCAAAUAUCCUUCUAGAUGAGCAGUGGAAUGCUAAGCUGUCAGAUUUUGGAUUGGCUAGGUUGGGACCUUCAGAAGGAUUGACUCAUGUUUCAACUGCGGUUGUGGGAACCAUGGGAUAUGCAGCUCCUGAGUACAUCCAAACCGGACGUCUUACAGCCAAGAGUGAUGUAUGGAGCUAUGGGGUCUUUCUUUAUGAACUUAUUACAGGUCGACGCCCCUUGGAUCGAAAUAGACCAAAAAGUGAGCAGAAGCUCUUGGAAUGGGUGAGGCCAUACCUAUCAGAUGCAAAAAAAUUCUCACAUAUAUUGGACCCAAGGCUUGAGGGAAAAUACCCCAUAAGGUCAGCACAGAAGCUUGCAACUAUAGCCAAUAGAUGCCUAGUUAGAAAUCCCAAGUCACGUCCAAAGAUGAGUGAAGUGUUGGAAAUGGUGAAUCGAAUUGUGGAUGCAUCAUCUGGAACAGCUAGUCCUCAACUUUCAUUCCGGAGCACAAUGUCUAUGGAAUCUUCACGGAAAAAUACAACAAAAAAGAAAAGAAGUAACAUAGAUUUGAAAGGUGGGGAAAGUGGUUGGUUUGCUCGGAUGUGGACUCCAAAGCUUUUAAGAACAUGUUGAUUGCAGUAAAACUUCAGCAUACGCAGCAGGUAGGUCUUUUGGUCUGUGGAUUACUCUGGAUAAACUUAUAUAUUGAGGCUAAUAGGGUUAUUCAUGUAUUGAUUUAACAAUAAAUUUUAUCCUAGAACUUUCAUAUGGUGUAACUUCUCUUCCACUGAGCAAUAUUUAAGAGAACU